GUUUCCAGGGGCAACACUCACAUUUACCCUCCAAAAUUCAACAUUUUCAUAUUUUGAGGAGCUUCAGUACGUUUGCUCACCGAUGAACUAGAAGUUGUUUUGUGUACUGCAUGAUUGAGGAAGUGCUAUUGCAGAUCAAAGUUGGUAGAAGCAUCUGCUGGGAAUCAAGUGUUACAUGGCUGUGGGUGACAAGGUUAGUGGUUUAGGAGUUCCUGCCAACACUGGCUUUUGGAAUUUAUCCUCGCUUCAUCAGUUGGGAUUUCUGUACAAAACUAAGAUAAUUUAUUUUGGUGCUUGCGAUGAGUAUUAGAUAGAGGGGUGAUGCACACAUACUUCACCCAGUGUAUCUGUUCAUGUAUGUUGUUAAUUGACUAAUUAGACAAAAAACCUCUAUCUGUAUGGUGUUUGUGAUGAUGCUAUCAAUUCACCAAACACUAAAAUACCGGGUUGUGCUUUUCAAAUCUAGCAAAUUAAUUCUCUA